rnacentral:snRNA from 1 species
GUCAAGCUAUACAGGAUUCGGCU